rnacentral:rRNA from 1 species
AUUGAACGCUGGCGGCAGGCCUAACACAUGCAAGUCGAGCGGAUGAAGGGAGCUUGCUCCUGGAUUCAGCGGCGGACGGGCGAGUAAUGCAUAGGAAUCUGCCUGGUAGUGGGGGAUAACGUCCGGAAACGGGCGCUAAUACCGCAUACGUCCUGAGGGAGAAAGUGGGGGAGCUUCGGACCUCACGCUAUCAGAUGAGCCUAGGUCGGAUUAGCUAGUUGGUGGGGUAAAGGCCUACCAAGGCGACGAUCCGUAACUGGUCUGAGAGGAUGAUCAGUCACACUGGAACUGAGACACGGUCCAGACUCCUACGGGAGGCAGCAGUGGGGAAUAUUGGACAAUGGGCGAAAGCCUGAUCCAGCCAUGCCGCGUGUGUGAAGAAGGUCUUCGGAUUGUAAAGCACUUUAAGUUGGGAGGAAGGGCAGUAAGUUAAUACCUUGCUGUUUUGACGUUACCAACAGAAUAAGCACCGGCUAACUUCGUG